rnacentral:rRNA from 1 species
AUUGAACGCUGGCGGCAUGCCUUACACAUGCAAGUCGAACGGCAGCACGGGUGCUUGCACCUGGUGGCGAGUGGCGAACGGGUGAGUAAUACAUCGGAACAUGUCCUGUAGUGGGGGAUAGCCCGGCGAAAGCCGGAUUAAUACCGCAUACGAUCUACGGAUGAAAGCGGGGGACCUUCGGGCCUCGCGCUAUAGGGUUGGCCGAUGUCUGAUUAGCUAGUUGGUGGGGUAAAGGCCUACCAAGGCGACGAUCAGUAGCUGGUCUGAGAGGACGACCAGCGACACUGGGAGUGAGACACGGCCCAGAGUCCUACGGGAGGCAGCAGUGGGGAAUGUUGGACAAUGGGCGGAAGCCUGAUCCAGCAGUGCCGCGUGUGAGAAGAAGGCCUUCGGGUUGUAAAGCACUUUUGUCGGGAAAGAAAUGCUUGGCCCUAAUACGGUCGGGGGAUGACGGUACCGGAAGAAUAAGCACCGGCUAACUACGUG